rnacentral:ncRNA from 1 species
CCGAAGACAAAGAUAAAGAAGAGUAACCUAAUCCAAGUUUUCAGCGAGUCUCGUUAGGUGCAAGGAGAUAAAUAAAGUUUAGGCGAAAAUCACUUUUGAGUUCAACUUCUUAAUUUAUAGUAAGAAGGAGUGGGAGCACCCAUUACAGUGCCGACGUAUCGCCAGGAUUACUGGCUGCACGUGUAGAGAUAUUGCUAGCAAUAGUGAUAUGAAGACAGGGUGGUACCACGCUCAAGCGUCCCUCAA